GGCCAAUGCAUUCUUUCUAGGUUGUGAAUUGGUUUAAAGCUAAGGAUUAAAUCAAGAUCAAAGUAAUUAUUUCUGAAUAGUAUUGAAAAUAAAUUUUUUGCAUAGAGUAGGGUGGUUGUAUAUUAUCUGACCUGUGUGUCAAAUGCCCCCAGUGUCCCGAUUGCUGGAACUUUUCUGUUCACCCUCCAGUUUUGCUUUCCAGCCUUCUUCAACCUCCUGUCUGACCAAGGUGGUUGAUCUCUGAGGACACACUACCGACAGCCUCAAUUCUGUCUUCUCAUUGGGUUUGGCCAGUGGAGAGCGGUCAGAGGAAGUCAGGAACUGGAAGAGGGGAGAAAGAUGUUGGGUUAAUUAUUUCCACCAUCUGCAUGAACCAUCUGCCUCCCCACUGAGACACCCAAUUGGCAGUGCCUCUACAGAAGGCCAUUGCUCCCUUAGGUGGCUUUCUCCCCUUUGGCUGUCUCCUCUCUGGUUCCCUGUAAUUGUGUCCACUUCUUUUCAUCUCAAGCUUAGACUGCCUAUCAGUCAGGGUCCCAGAAAAACAGUGGCACUCUGAAAUUAGGAGGAUGUGAGGAGAGUCUAAUAAAGAAACAAAUUACAGAGAUGGGAACUGGCUGUUGGGAACCCACAGAAAAUGGUGCCGUGUGCUGGGACUAAAAGCAGCAAAACCGUGUUGCCACCCCGUGGUCUUAAGAGGAAGAAAGGAGGAGCUCCAAGGAAAAACACAGCAGACCCAUCGCUGGGAAUCAGCAGAGGCAGUUCAUUCCAGUAGCAGCAGUUGAAUCCGGUGUGCAGUUUUCCCAGCACGCACAGAACUAGCUUCAUUGUGCCUUCUUGGAGACCCCAGCAGCAGCCAACCAACACCCACUCCUCAGCCAGUCACAGCCCCGUGGAGCCCCACUCCAAGCUUGGGGACAGCAGCAGCAGCUGAAUGGCAGCCUCCUUCUCAGAUGUCUGCAUCUCUGCUCUAUGGGAGCCCUCACAAGUUUCAAUAAUGUCAUCCUCUUCUCUUUGUUUCCCCAGCCCCAGGAACGAUAGGUUCUUUCUGCUGUGGCAUUGCCGCAAUUACUUGGUGUUCUCUUUGGGGCACAAAAUGAAAGAAUCCUGGGUCUCUGAAUCGUGAUACAGAGGAAAGCUACCCACCAACCCAGGACACAUUUACCGAACUGUUAUAUGAGCAAGAAAGACAUUUUGAUUGUGUAAAAUCACCAAAAUAUGGAUCCUAUUUUUUACAACAAUGAACUGCACCUAUUAUGCCUGAAGAACAUUUUAAAACAUGUUUCUAGACUCCAUCCAAAACCAGAAUCUUCCAGCACUGUCUAGUAAUCUAUCAUUUUAAAAUGUUAUUCUUCCUGGUUUGGAAACCACAGUCUAAAUUGCCCUGAGCGUAUACUUAUUAACAUUCACCAGGUAGCAACUACCCAAAGCAUAGUUGUGGUACUUAGAAGGAAUUCAUCUAUAGCUCAAGAAUUAACUUCGUAGUUUUUAACUGCUCUUUUUUUUAGAAAUGUCACAAAAAGACUGAGUUCAGAGAAGAUCAGCAUGAAGUGAGCUGUGGAAGUUUUGCUAUUCCCAAAAGAAAAGGGCUUUCAGAUAUCCUGAUUGUCUGCCAGCAUUGACUGCCUCUGAAAAAUCAGUGUCUUUGCCAACUAUGUGACAGACACUGGGCAGAUUUACAGGAUGAGAGACAAUUGCUGGGGCUCCUUUCUAUUCUGUUAAAAAGCCCUGACCCAGAGAACUCAGGACUUUCUGGCGCAAAAUGGUCUGAUACAGAUUUUGUUGCUGUCUCAGAUUCACGCACUUGCUUUGGUUCGUAUGGCUAUUUUCAGGUGACAGCAGUAAUUAAGGCAUGUACUUGGUGAUAGGCAUCUUCUUGCAUGGGUCACCCCACAGGGUUUGAUUCCCAGGCCAACUGGCAAGAUUUCUGAAAGCAAGUGACAGCUUGUAAGAGGGGUGAAGGAAAAGGCAGAGCUGGCCGGGUGGCUGUGUCCUAUGACAAAGGAUUACAGUUAAUGGUGCUGAGGUCUGGCAAGCACCACGACCCUGCCUGGCUCCCAAGCUGCUCUGUCUAAAUGAUCAUUGUUGAUUAUGUGUCUAUACCUAGGCAAGAGAGUGGGACAGCAUGACAGAAAGCAGCUUCUUGACAGGCUCCAGAAAAUUUCCUUUAUAAGGGCUUUACCUUUAAUAGAGAACUCGAGAGGUCAAAAAUGUUAUAUUAAUACUUUGUCUUCAGACAGGCUGCCCAUGUAAACAGUUCAUGCUGCUAGACAAAACGAGUCUUAGGAAGCUUAAGGGCAUGUUUCCACAGCAGCCUGGUAUGCCUAAAUUAGCAGUAAUUAUGUCUAAAGAGAGAAGCAUAGUUUAAAAGAAUUAUGGCUAUGACUUUUGGCACAUGGAAUGGAAUGGAAUCAAAUCUUUUUUUGUUUUUUAGUUUCUUUCUUUCUUUCUUUCUUUCUUUCUUUCUUUCUUUCUUUCUUUCUUUCUUUCUUUCUUUCUUUCUUUCUUUCUUUUGAGACAGGGUCUUGCUGUGUUGUCCAGGCUGGUGUUGAACUGCUGGCAUCAAACAAUCUUACUGCCUCAGCCUCACAAAGUAUGGAUUGCAGGCAUGAACUACCACACCCAGCCAAUUUUGGAGUCAAAUCUAAAAAUCUUUGGGUAUUUCAAAACCCACAAAGGUUUCUAGUUUAUUGACAAAAGCACUUAGAGCCUGGCCUAAGACAGACAAGGAUUAUUUGAAAUGUAAAACCACUCUUGAGACCCCAAGUAGGAAACAGGCAGUGAAUGCAGCUAAGCCACCAAAAAUGACCUGUUUUACAAUGCCCCUGUAGAAAUGAGCAAGGGAGAUGAUGAGAACAAAAGGAUCUUCCAAAAAGCAGAAUCAGAAAAAUAGAUUAGAGAACUAUUCCCAGGGAGCAGAACCUGGGCUGAAUCAAGAAAUGUUACCUCUUUCCAGAGCAAGGAAACUUGGUAACAUUGACCUAGGAGGUUUCAGAAUUGCUAUGGAUCAGUAAAUGCAUUGCACCUCACAUCUUUCCCCUGUUGAAGGGGAGUAAUUAUCCUGUCUCUGGUUUACCUUGAAUUUCUGGUGUAUGUGGGGCAAUUAAUUAGACUUUUUAGUUCAUAGAUCUUUUUAUCCUACAAUUUGAGAUAUUCCCUGUGGUUAGCAGAAUUUUAAAGAUGUCCUCCCAAAAUUCCUGUCACCUGGUUAUUCAAUCAAAUGCUAAUCUAGUUAUUGUCAUCAAGUGACUUUACAGAUGUAAUUAAGAGUACAGCUCACCUUAACACAGGGAGAUUAUCUUGUAUUAUAUGGGGCUCAUCCAGCCUAAUCAGAUGAACCCUUUAAAACAGAGAAUUUUCUCUGUCUGAAAGCAGAAAUGAGGCAGAAGGGGAGUUGAGAGAGGCUUAAAACGUGAGAUGCUGGCUAUGAAGAUGAAGAGGGCCAAGGAAUGCAGGCAGCUUUUACAAACUGAGAACAGGGAGCUCUUGAGCCAGGUGUGUUGGCACACAAUUUAAUCCCAGCUACUUAGGAGGCUGAGAUGGGGGUAUGACAUAAGCCCAGCAGUCUGAAUCCAGCCUGGGCAACCUAGUAAGACCCUGUCUCUAUUUUAGUAAAACAAACAAACAAGAAAACCCAGGGAGCUCAGUUCUAUAACUGCAUGGAACUGAAUGCUGCCAACAACUGAAUGAGCUUGGAAGUGGAUUGAGCCUCCAGAAAGGAGUGCAUCCCUGCCAACACACUGAUUUCAGCCUUAUGAGACUCUAAACAGAUGGCCCAUCUGAGCCAUGCUGUACCUGGACUUCUAACGUAGAGAACUGCAAGAUAAGAAAUUGGUAUUAUUUUAAGUAACUAAAUUUGUGAUUAUUUGUUAUGGCAGCAAUAGAAAGCUAAUACACUCCCUCUCCCAUAAAUGAACUUCAAGAAAGAGGCUUUAGGUCUAGUCGGUUCACUUAAAACUCAACAGAGCUGCAAAUUUAGAUUAAGAAAGAUGGGUUUACAACCCUAUCCCUACAUGGCGUAAGAAAGAUCCAAGAAACACUGAAUAAGUCACAAUUCUGGUCUCAGCCACUAAAAUAAAGCCUUCCGCUGUUGUUAUUAAUAUAUGAGAACUAUGAAGUCUUUAAAUUUGGGGAGAUGGCAUAAAGGUAAAUAUGUUGGCAGAUGAGAUUGUGUACAACUGUCAGAUCUAUAUGUUUAUGAGGAACUGAAGAGCAGAAUUUGAAACAAAUUGCUUGAAUUACAUGAAGCCCACCACAGUGGAAAAAGUACCAUGUAAAUAUCUCUAAGCCUCAUUUUUCCUUCCCUUUUUAACAGAGAUAAAAGUAUCUCCACCACAGAUUAUAUAUCUUGCUCUGUAAGGUGAGCCUAACCAUAUUUAUCCAACUUGAGUCAUCCAAUUAUCACUUUUGUAAUUUUUACCAUAUCUUCAUGCUACCUAUUCUAUUUACCUAAUAUUUAACGCAAUUUGUAUUUUUUGUACUUUUUUUUGUGUUUUUGUUUGUUUAUUUUUGAGACACAGUAUCACUCCAUCACCUAAGCUGAAGUGCAGUGGCGUGAUCUUGGCUCACUGCAACCUCUGCCUCCUGGGUUCAAGUGAUUCUGAUGCCUCGGCCUCCUGAGUAGAUGGGAUUGCAGGCAUGCACCACCAUGCCCGGUUAAUUUUUGUAUUUUUAGUAGAGACAGGGGUUUCAUUCACCAUGUUGGCCAGGCUGGUCUUGAAUUCCUGGCCUCAAGUGAUUCGCCCACCUCAGCCUCCCAAAGUGUGGGGAUUACAGGCAUGAGCCACUGUACCUGGCCUCUUUGUGCUUUUUAAUGCACAAUAAAAUAAUCACAUAGCCAUUAAAAUGUAAAAUCUUCAUUUGUGCAAUUCCUAAAAUCAUUUCCCGUACUAUUCUUUGAGAAAUCAUAAACUAAGAUGAUCAUAAUUCAGUAAACAAUAGACAAUCUUAUACAAAUGAAAAUGUUGAGGUAUAUAUUUUCAAGUAUUAUUCAGGAAGUUCAUUUGGGGAUAAUAAUUUAAAAACAAAACAAAACAAAAACUUCCAGGGCCAGAUAUAUAUGUUCAUAGUUUCCUGAUUAACUAAGGUUUGUACAUGCAUUUGUUAAACAGAUACCUCAUGAGCAUAUAGUGUCUGUUAAACACUACAUGGCUCUUGAAACACAAAAAUGAACAAAGCAGAUCUGCAAAUCCUGCUAUCCUCUGCAAAUCACAGCCUAGUGGAAUAAUAGAAAUUCAGUAAGAAAUUACAUGAACAAUUAUUUAAUUAUAAAUGUUUCAUGAGUGGCAAAAAUCUUGCAUUUCUAUAUAUUUGGAACCAUCUCCCCAGUUAUAUUAAAGGUACACUAACCUUAACAUUUUGUGGUAGUUCAAACCAUGACUGCACAUGUUUUUGACACUCAUUCUAUUGAGUAGUUACAUCAGUGUCUCCUUCUCUUGAAUCUGGGCUGGCCUUAGAAACUCACUCUUAGCCAAUAGAAUGCAGCCAAUGAUGCUAUAUGACUUCUUGAGUCUAGGUGUAUCAGUCAUCUCUUGUUUCACAAUAAAUUACCCCAAAACUUAUUGGCUUAAAGUGAUCAAUAUUUAUUACUCACAGUCUCUAUGGGUCAAGAUUUGGGGGAUGGCUUAGCUGGCAAUUCUGACUCAGAGCCUCUUACAAGGUGUCAGUCAAGGUAUCAGCCUGGGCUGCAGUCAUCUGAAGACUUGACUGAGGUGGGAAGAUGGGUUUCCAAGAUGGCUCGCUCACAUGGCUUCUGGUGGAAGUCUUCAGUGGGUUUCUGGCUAACGACAGGGGGCUCAGUUCCUUGCCCUGGGGUACUCUUCAUAGGAUUGCUUGACUAUCACAGGAGCUGGCUUUUCCCAGAGCAAGUGACUCAAGACAUAGCAAGAAGGAAAUCAUAAUGCCUUUAUAUCCUCAUCUUGGAAAUCAAAUAUCAUCACUUCCGCAUUAUUCUACUUGUUAGAAAUGAGUCACUAAGUACAGUUCACAUCUGAGAAAGGAGAAUUAGGCUACAUCUUUUGAAGGAAGAGUAUCAAGGUAUUUGUGGAUCUAUUUUAAUACCACCAUACUAAUCAUAAAAAGUGAUGUAGCUUCCUGGUUAGGAAGAUGUAGCAACCUAAUCUUGCUGGCUAGGCAGAUGUUGCAUAAAACACCUUCUCCCUAAAUUGCCAUGUAAAAUGUCCAAAAAUUCUAAGGCUGCCAUGCUGUGAGGAAGCCCAGCCCACAUGGAGCGACCACAUGUGGGUACACCAGUUGACAGCCCCACUGAGAUCCCAGCCAAUAGUCAACGUCAACCACAAGAAAUGGGAGUACUAUGGACUGAAUGUAUUCCUCCCAAAUUCAUAUGUUGAAAGCUAAUCAAUCUUCAAUGUGGGAGUAUUUGGAGGAGGGGCUUUUGCAAGGUAAGUAGGUCAUGACAGCAGAGCCCUCAUGAACGGGAUUAGUGUCUUUAUAAGAAGAGGCCACAGAGAGAUCCUUCACCCCUUCUGCCAUAUGAGGUUACAGCAAAAAGAUGGCUAUCUAUGAAGAAGUGGGAAUCACCAAACACUGAACCUACCAAUGCCUUGAUCUUGGACUUUUCAGCUUCCAGAGCUGUAAAAAUAAGUUUCUGUUGUUUAUAAGCCAUCCAGUUUAUGGUAUUUUGUUAUAACUGCCCCAAAGGACUAAGACAUUGGGCAAAGAUGCCUACAGAUGAUUCUAGCCCCAGCUGUUGAGACACCUUCAGCCAUCCUCUCCGUGAGCCAUUGAAUCUUCUCAGCUUCCCAGAUACAAGUCAUCACUAAUUUUAGGAUCAGAUGCCUCUUCUUAACAUAGCUUCAAAGGGGACACAGCAUAGCACAGUGAUUAUAUGCAGAAGCUCUGGAUUUCAGGGUCAGUGUCAACUCUCUCUUGUGCUGCUUCCAGCAACAUGACCUUGGGCAAUUUGCUUUAAUUCUCUAAACCCCAGGUUCUUCAUCCUUUAGUUACGAAAACAAAAGUGAGUAGGUGUUGUUUCGAAGACUGAAUGGAGUAAUGCAUUCAAAGUUCUCAGUACAUAAUUUAUGCUAGGUGUUGGUAUUAUUUUCACUAUUAUCAUUUUUAUUUUCAUUAAAUCUGCUUCUCUUCCAGGAUUUCCCAUAUUAUUGGUUUAUGUCAUGAAAAUCCUAAAUCACCCUCAGGCUCAAAAUUAAAACUAAAACAACAAAAAAUUUUCCACUCUUCCUUCUAUUUCACCAAAUAUUUAUAAUAAAUUUUCAAGUUCCAUUGAUUCUACCUCCAUAGUUUCUGUUAUCCUUCCACCCUCAAAGCCAAUUAAGGGAUAGGCCAGGAGGAAGUGGCCCCGGGACACCAGCUGAAAUGGAAAGUAAACAGCACCAGGAACACUAGCACAAUGGAGGAGCAGGUAUUUACCAGAAGAAGAGUGUGAACAUAGUUGGAAGGAAUGCUUGGUUAAGUCAGUAGAGGUAAAGUCAUGUGAUAAGUCCCCAUCAAAAGACUGUGAGUGGAAAUGUUUUGUGCAACUUCUGUCUCACCUGUUUAAAGGAAAGGACUUGCCUGGACUUAUUCCCUUUUCUCCUACCUGUGAUCUGGAACACGAAUAUGCCUCUGCUUGACUUUGACCAUGGAGAAGAAAAAAUAUUUUAAAGGAUGGUGGAGUAAUAAGAUAAAAGGCACCUGGUUCCCUG
rnacentral:lncRNA from 10 species